rnacentral:rRNA from 1 species
UCGAGAAUCUUCCACAAUGGACGAAAGUCUGAUGGAGCGACGCCGCGUGAUUGAUGAAGUCCCUCUGGGACGUAAAGAUCUUUUAUUAGGGAAGAAGUUUAUUGACUGUACCUAAUGAAUAAGAGGCUCCUAAUCUCGUGCCAGCAGGAGCGGUAAUACGAGAGCCUCGAGCGUUAUCCGGAAUUAUUGGGCGUAAAGGGUGCGUAGGUUGUUCUGUUAGUCUUUUGUCAAAGCCCCGGGCUUAACCUGG